rnacentral:lncRNA from 10 species
CUUUUUUCUUUCAGUAUUUAAUUAAAUGCCUUAUUGCAAGUAUGUAUCUAUUUGCUGGACUUGUUUUCAUUUCAGGGUCUUUUUUUAAUUUUUAAUUUUUUUUUUUUUUUUCUAGAGACAGGGUUUGCCAUGUUGCCCAGCUGGUCUUGAACUCCUGGGCUCAAGCAGUCUUCCUGCCUCAGCCUCCCACAGUGCUAGGAUUACAGGCAUGUAGCACUACACCCACCUAAUUCAGGCUUCUUAAUAAUGUAUUUUGUGAACAUUUUAAUAAACUGAGUGACCUUCCUUUCUUUCUGUCUUGCUUUGCUCUGCUCUG